rnacentral:tRNA from 1 species
GCCCUGGUGGCAUAACGGUUAAGCGCUUGGCUGCUAACCAAAAGGUUGGCAGUUCAAACCCACCCAGUGGCC